AGCCCAUGGUGAGGGCACCGUCUCAAUAAGUCCUUAUACUUUUUCCAUGCAUCAUAUAAAGUCUCUAAAUUGAUCUGCACAAAGGAGGAGAUAUCAUUCCUUAACUU
rfam:Gossypium arboreum cultivar AKA8401 contig_41503_1, whole genome shotgun sequence.